rnacentral:lncRNA from 1 species
CAUUUGGCUGAACACUCACAAAGUAGAAUCCAGGACUGGAAUCCUGGAGAGCUCAGGCUUUCAGAGUUGAAGAGCUGGUAGGUGUUAGCGCAGCCACACACACCUAGUCUCUAGAUUCCUAACGCAGUGACUGUUACAAAACCAGGCCACCCCAGAUAGGAACGAAAGGACUAGGAAAACAUGAACGAAGCAGAGAGAAAGAAAUGACGAGGGGUAAAUCUGCGGCAGAGUAACCCAGUACAAUCCCCAUCUCUCCCUUCCGCCCUGGGGCGGAAUCCAAGGCUCACCGAGGGCGGCAGCGGCCAGGGCCGGGUUGUGUGGGCUGAGGAGGCCCACGAGGGUUGACACCAGCUGAUCCAGGAAGGGCAAAGAUAUGACCUCGCUCUCCUCGUAACGGUGCACGCGCCGCCUGCGCCGCAGGUAGAAGUGCUCCUGCAGCAGGCAGUCGCAGGCGACCGCACGCAGCGCCGCGAGGUCCAGCGCAGGUUCAGGUUCGGGUUCGGGCUCGGGCUCGGGCUCCGCUGGGGGCGGCGGCAGACCCGACAGGAACACGGUCUUGGUGAAGUACUGGUACCAGCGGUCGGCAUUCAGCGCGAAGGUCUGCGGGUAAACCAUGUACUUCAUAAACUGCAUCUUGGUGAGGAUUCGCAGCUUCUCGUCUACCGACUCCGCAGCGUGCACCGUCGCCUGCCAGCGCUCGAUCCGCCGCAGCCGUGCAGCUUUGCUGUCGGCUGUCAUGGAGGCCACAAUCGGCGGGUACCGCGCGACGGGGGUCGCCGCGACGUCUUGGCAGGUCGUUUCUGUAGCCGUGGCGGCGGCAUUAGCCGCGGUGUGCAAUGAAAGCCUCGGACCGCGUAGCAAAGGCCUCCAACACCUGGCCGCCGCCAUCUUUGCCCGCGAUUCCGGACCCAGAGGUCAACUUAAGCAAUUGUCCUUGCCCUCUUGCUGUAGGGACCAAUCGGAAAGCGGAAUCUGAGCCAGUCUGGGAAAGGACGAUUCUCAGUGGGCGUGGGUUAUGUUGCGUCAUUCAUGGUUUAGCCAAUCAUAUAACUUCUCCAGUCGUGGUUUCCUGCGUUUGUAGAUGGAAGGAAGAACUUGUGUGCUUAGACCUGACGCUGGGAGGAGAUGCUGCCACCUAGGUUACUUGUAGGACCCUAUACGGCAACCUCCUUUGCCAGGAACUAUUUAUAAACAUCCUGCAGGAAAAUGCAGUGAAGUAGAAGAGACAGGGAUAUCCCAGAAGGUUAUGCAAAACAUCAAGAGAAGAUGAGAGGAGUCUAUAUGUCAGAAUACACAUUUCCCACCUUGCCCAACAGUAGAAAAACAUAAGAAGAGAAAAACAUUAAAAAAUGACAAGGAAGUUAAUGGAAGGUUUGUGCAUUUUUUUUCCUUUUAAGAUUUUGAAUCAUUAUGAGUUUUAAAACCAUUUGUAAUGUUCUUGUGUUUAAACCUAAGCAAUACAAGUAGUAAAUAAGGUUUGUUUAGUUAGUGAAAUAUCACCCAAUGUGCAUUUACUGUACUGCUCAGCUUUAUUUUGUUACCAUACUUUGAAUCCUAAGCCCUAAGAAACAAUUUUGCAAAUUUAUCAAUGACUCGAAAUAAGUAAAUACAUAUAUAUUAUUUAAAAUCUAUUAAUGCAUUAAAAUCAACUCUCUAAAAAAGGCAUACAUGUUAAUAAUUCUGAAGACUGUGAUCUAAACGUGAUCCAUUUUGAAAGAGAUCAAAUUGCAAGUAAAAUAGUAUUUUUAUUAGUAACUUCUGAACUGUUGAUAAAUUCUUCAACCAAGGAAAAGUUUCUUCCUGUCAUCAAACGUUGAGGUGAUGAUGAUGAUCGUAAUUAGAAUGCAAGCUACAAGAAACAGUUAAGGGUACCUGUUACGAACUGAAUGUUUAUGUCCCCCCAGUCAGCAAUGUGAUGGUGUUUGGAGGUGGAGCCUUCAGAAGGUAAUUAAUGCCCUUGUAAGAAGAGGCCAGAGAGCUUGCGCACCUUCUUCCUGCCAUGUGAGGAGCCAAGAAGCCGGCUGUCUGCAACCUGCAAGAGGACCCUCACUAGAAGCUAGCCAUACUGGCAUCCUCAUCUUGGCUUUCCAACUUCCAGAACUGUGAGAAGUAUAUGUUUGUGGUUUAGUCAAUGGUCUAUGGUAAUUUUUUUAUAGCAGUCCCAGCCAAGACAGUGCCUCAUUUACUACAUACCAUUUAUAUUAUUAUAUAGGCUCCUUUCAGAAACCCAUGUUCAAAUAAGAGAUAAGAUACUGAAACACAUAACACCUUCACUAGUUUUUAGUAUACAAAUAUUGAGAAAUAGUUUGUUAUUAACUAUCUCAUCCAAGAAAUGCAGAUUCAUGUUGUUUCUAAUUUUUUAUAUAUAAUUGACAAAAUGAAGAAACUUAACACCAUCCUAGAUUUUAGCUGCCCAAAGAAUGAAAAGAAUGAAAAAAAAAUCUUUGAAAACCCACAAGUGAUAUGGAUCUAAUUUAUGGUUAAAUAGAUAUAGAUAACAAACAGAAUACGCCUGUUUAAAACUGUUAAAAUGACAUUGGUUCUAAUUAUACUUUUAUUUAAAUUGAAAGACAAGGCAUUUAUAUGGUAUCUCUAACCAUCACAACUUUUGUGUGACAAAAAGAAAUUAUCACCAAAAUACACCUCCUUAAGUAAGUGUCUGAUUUCACACUUCCAGAAAAAGUGCUCUUUCUGGUCAAGCCAGCAAGAAUUGAGAAAGAUUAAGAAAGUGCUUCAAAGAUGUUUAUUAAAAAGUUGUCAUAAAAAUGUGAAGUAGAUGUAGCAUCAAGCAUACCAAAUAAAGUAAAACUGUCAUCAAGAAGAUUCAACAGCUAUGAAAAGAGUUCUUCAAAAUAUGAUAUGUUUUUCUAGAUGAUAAUAAAAUUUAUCAAUUCCAAAUGUCCACAUUAGUCUUUCAUAAAGACACCAAUGAGUCACAGGAAAAAAAAUUAAAAAUAAAAAAACCCUAUCUCAGGGAAUCAUGCUAACAACCUGAUGUGUUUUCUUCCACAUAUUUAUGUCUGCUUAUAAGUAUUUACAAACAUAUAUUCGCAUAUAUGCAUUUUGAAUUUUUUCUGUUGCUGCACUUAAAUUUUUUUCAUAAUAAAACAAGACUCCUGCAAUUUGCUUUUUUAGGUAGACUAUGUAUCCCUGACAACCAUCCAGGUCAGCUUGAUGAUUAACACAUUUGUUUUAAUAGCUACAUAGUAUUCUAUAAGUAUGAUUUAUUCAAGUGUGUGUGUGUGUGUGUGAGAGAGAGAGAGAGAGAGAGACAGAGACAGAAAAAGAGAGACAGAGGAGGAUAUUCAGGGGUUCUGUCCACUACAACAUUUUGUCACAGGCAACAGUGCUGAAAUGAAAACACUUGAACACAUAUUUUUAUGAUUUUACUUUUUAUGAUUUUCAAAAGUGUGUUUGCAAGGUCAAAGAAUAGAUGUGUUGCUCUUAAUAAAUAUCAAAAGAUUAUUUACUACUACCCAAAUUAUACUGUAAUUUCUUCUUGAACCGUUUAAUUUGUAUCCUCCUAUCAGUGAGGUUGAGAAAUAUUUUAUGCUUACUGACUUUUGCAAUAUUUCUUUCACGAAUUAUUGCCAUUUUCUAUUGUCCAUUUUUCUGUUAGGCUCUAUGAUUAGCUUAUUAGGCUUUGUGGUUUAUAUGCAUCAGAAAGAGUAAGACUUAAUUUUGUGUGGAACAAAUACCCUGGUGUAGCAUGUUUCAUUAGAAUUUGUUUAUAGAGAUAUUUGCCAUAGAAAAGUUAUUUUUUAUUAGUAAAGAAUGCUUUGUAUUUCCUUUGUGGCUUCUAAGUACCCUUUUUUGGUUAUUAUACCUUUAUCCAUAAGUAUCUUUAAAUAUUACAAAAAUUACAUAUUCUUUUAAAUAUUUUAAAGAUUUAUUAUAUUCAUUUAGGUUUUAAUCCACUUUUAAUUUUUUAGAUGAAAAGUAAGAGAAAAGUAUAUAAAUCAUGAGCACAAAUUGAACUAACCAAGGUAACAAUCAAUCUGCUCAAGAAAUUGAGCAUCACCACCACCUCCUCCUGCACUGUCCAAAUCAGCACCCCAGUACUCCAAAGCAAAUGUUACUCACUACACUGACUUCUAACACAAUAGACUUGUUUUGUCUGUUUUCAACUAUACAAAAAUGAAUCAUAGAGUAUGUGUUGUUUUGUAUUUGGCUCCUUUCACUAAAAUUUUGGUUUAUAAAAUUCAUCCAUGUGGUUGAACACAGUUGUAGAUUGUUCAUUUUAAUUGUUUUACAGUAUUUAUUGUGUGACUAAAACACUACUUAUUUAUUCUAUAAUUGACAGACUUUGGGUUGCUUUUGCUUUGGGAGUAUAAACAUUUUUAUAUCUAUGCUUUAGGUACAUGUUCAUGAAUUUGUGCUGAAUAAUUACUUGAGUGUGAAAUUGUUAUGUUAUGCGAUAUAUAGUAGUCAAAUAUAGAAGAUAAUGCAAAACAAUUUAAAGUGAUUGUAGCAGUUUGCUGUAUUCUACAGCAGCAGAUUGUAGCAGAUUACUGUAUUCUACAGCAGCAGCAUGUGAGAUUGCCAGUUGCUCAAAUUCGUGCCAAUACUUGGUAUUUUUUAUCUUUUAAUUUUAGACAUUCUGGAGAGUGUGUAGUAAUUUUUCAUCUUGGAAAAUUACAUUAAAUUAGUAUCCAUUUCUCUAAUUUUGAUAACAUUUUCAUAAGUUUAUUGUUAUUAGAUAUUUUCUUUAUUUUGAAGUGCUUAUUGUCCAUUUUACAUUGGGUCAUCUGUUAUUGAAUUGUAAACAUUCCUUGAAUAUUUAAAUAUGAGUGCUUGGUCAGUUUUUGUCACAAAUAUCCUCUUUUUUCACUUUUUGCCCUUUUAUUAUUCUGAAAAUGCCAAUUGAUUAAAAUUAAUUUUACUAUUGUUCAAUAUAUCAUGCUUUGUUUUUUCACAGUGUGUUUUGUGUCCUGUUUAAGAAUUCCUUCUCUCAUUUGGCAUUCAUUUGGCAUUCAUUUGGCUUGGCAAAAUUGGCGUGUUUUUUUUUUUUUUUUUAACCUAUAACUUUUCCU